UACGAAGGUGGCAAGCGUUGUUCGGAUUUACUGGGCGUACAGGGAGCGUAGGCGGUUGGAUAAGCCCUCCGUGAAAUCUCCAGGCUUAACCUGGAAAGUGCAGAGGGGACUGUUCAGCUAGAGGAUGGGAGAAGAGCGCGGAAUUCCCGGUGUAGCGGUGAAAUGCGUAGAGAUCGGGAGGAAGGCCGGUGGCGAAGGCGGCGCUCUGGAACAUUUCUGACGCUGAGGCUCGAAAGCGUGGGGAGCAAACAGG
rnacentral:rRNA from 1 species